UACGUAGGGUGCGAGCGUUAAUCGGAAUUACUGGGCGUAAAGCGUGCGCAGGCGGUCUGUUAAGACCGAUGUGAAGUCCCCGGCUUAACCUGGGAACUGCAUUGGUGACUGGCAGGCUUUGAGUGUGGCAGAGGGAGGUAGAAUUCCACGUGUAGCAGUGAAAUGCGUAGAGAUGUGGAGGAAUACCGAUGGCGAAGGCAGCCUCCUGGGCCAACACUGACGCUCGAUGCACGAAAGCGUGGGGAGCAAACAGAUGAUAGUA
rnacentral:rRNA from 1 species